rnacentral:lncRNA from 1 species
NNNNNNNNNNNNNNNNNGCCUGGCUGCAGCUGCCCGCGCCCUGACCCCCCACGGAGCCGGGUCCCCGCAUCCCCCCCGUCCCCGUGUCCCCCCAUUCCUGUGUCCCCAUGUCCCUGUGUCCCCAUAUCCCUGGGUCCCUCCAUCCCCGGGUCUCCAAGUCCCCAUGGCACCAUGUCCCCAUGUUCCCAUGGCACCAUGUCCCCACGUCCCCACCUCCCCAUGUCUCCAUGGCACCAUGUCCCCGUGUUCCCACAUCCCUGGGUCCCCAUGUCCCCGUGUCCCUACAUCUCCAUGUCCCUAUGUCCCAUGUCACCAUGUCCCUAUGAUCCCUGGGUCCCUCCAUCCCCGGGUCUCCAAGUCCCCAUGGCACCAUGUCCCCAUGUUCCCAUGGCACCAUGUCCCCACGUCCCCACCUCCCCAUGUCUCCAUGGCACCAUGUCCCCGUGUUCCCACAUCCCUGGGUCCCCAUGUCCCCGUGUCCCUACAUCUCCAUGUCCCUAUGUCCCAUGUCACCAUGUCCCUAUGACCCCGUGUCCCCACCUCCUCAUGUCUCCAUGUCCCCAUGUCCCUGUGUCCCCAUGUCCCCACAUCCCUGGGUCCCUGCAUCCUUGUGUCCCCAUGUCCCCACGUCCCCAUGGCACCGUGUCCCCAUGUCACCGUGUCCCUACAUCUCCAUAUCCCUAUGUCCCAUGUCACCAUGUCCCUAUGUCCCUGUGUCCCCACCUCCUCAUAUCUCCAUGUCCCCAUAUCCCCAUGUCCCCAUGGCCCUGUGUCCCCAUGGCACCAUGUCCCCAUGUCCCUGUGUCCCUACAUCCCCAUGUCCCAUGUCAGCAUGUCCCCAUGUCUCCCUGUCCCCGUGUCCCCAAGGCCCUGUGUCCCCAUGUCCCCUCCAUGUCCCCGGCACUCAGGGACACCUCUCAGCCCCAAACCAUCCAUCGCCACAACAGGGCUGGGGACACUCGGGGACAUGUUGGAGACGCGUCGCUGCGCUGUGUCGGCGCCCGGUGCUUUGGUC